ensembl:lncRNA
UCUGUCCGUCCUAAAUACACGUCCACCCGUCUCGUAGCGUUCAUCUAAUUCAGUUCCUAGUCACCUCUUAUUUCGGAUGCUGCCACGCCUUUGCCGGUGCCAGACAGAUGUACGCACGCAUAGACUCAUAGUCACCCAAGGCCGACUUCAACUCUCAAUCAUGCUGUGAAAUUGACGUCGACAAUUCAAUUCCAGCACCAAAGCCAGUCAAUUUGCCUUUGACCCUGAUAGGUCUCCAUAGCCGAGUAAAGAUAGGUCUCAUCCACAUCCCGAGAAAAGUAACUGGCCAUUUCACAAUUUACAAUCUUCUUGUCCUCUUUCCUUGCUACUAUCUCAAAAGUAAUUGGAUUAGAAAGCCAUCCCUCUGACCAUCUCUUCCGAUGGGAACGCCGGAGCCUUGGAGCUGCUGACCACUGCACUUCCGGCAGCGAUGCCAUUUCCGUCUCAACCUCCUAACACUCGCCUGUGAAAAGCCAGCGGAAAUGAGUAUUUUCUCCAGAGGAACAGAAUUUUAACAUUUUCUAAGAGCAAUGUGGUAAUUAGCUGUAUUUUACGCAUUUUUUUUGACACUUGGUUAUAAAAAGCCAACUAACAUUUAUAUUUGCCCCUGAGGAAUAUAUAUUUGGCCAGCUGCUCAUCUACACGUUUGAAUAUCUUGAUGAAUGAUUUGGCAUCCAAAGGCCAUCGACUCUUAAAUUUCUACUGUUGGACCUCCCCCGGAGCUUGGCUCUUCUCCAGGUUUCUUUCUCGGCUCCAAUCUUUCUAUGGUGUUUUUCCUAACCAAUAUGUGCUUCAACAUUCUAUUGCUUGCUCUAUGGGGUUUUACAAUGGUUUUCUUUGUCCUUAAUUAGACAUUCCUACUAAACUAACAUAUACAACCCAUUUCCAAAAAAGUUGUAAUGCUUCACAAAAUAUAAAUAAAAAC